rnacentral:rRNA from 1 species
UACGUAGGGUGCGAGCGUUGUCCGGAAUUAUUGGGCGUAAAGGGCUCGUAGGCGGUUUGUCGCGUCGGGAGUGAAAACCCAGGGCUUAACCCUGGGCUGGCUUCCGAUACGGGCAGACUAGAGGUAUGCAGGGGAGAACGGAAUUCCUGGUGUAGCGGUGAAAUGCGCAGAUAUCAGGAGGAACACCGGUGGCGAAGGCGGUUCUCUGGGCAUUACCUGACGCUGAGGGACGAAAGCUAGGGGAGCGAAUGGG